CUUUUAAAUGUUCCACUAAGAUCCUGUCCUGUUUGUUAGCCAUCACAAAUUUCUUAAAUCCCGUAUAUCGUCAUUCAAAACUCAUAGUAGUAAGAUUCUGUUUCAGAUGAGUCCCCAGACAGUGUUUGUAUUUUCCUCCCUAAGGAACCCUUUGGCCUCCUAUUUACUCCUGCCAGAGUGCAAAUCAGAUGUUUGAAGGCAGUUUAGGUGAUCAGAGUUUGGGCUCAAGCCCAAGUCCCAUGCUGCCAUGGUCACAGAGGUUACAAAGAACCUCCAGAGAUCACUAGUCAUGAUUGAACUCUUACUUUGAUCUCUAAGAAAUGUAAUUAGUAGUAAAGCAAACAAAUACCUAUAUACUGGGAAAAUCAAAUGUCUUCCCUCAGUCUUAUUACAGCAGUGUUUUUUGUUCCUUUGAUCAGGGCGGUUCAUAGGAGGAUGAUAGUUUAAACCGAGAGGCUGACAAAAUGGAGGCUGGCAGUAACGAGAAGAACUGAAGACUAUGGUAGCAUAAAAUAGCAGAGAGGAAUAAAAGAUAAAGGACAAUGAAGUGGAUAAUCAUUCUGAUGAGGGCAGAAGGCCAUGACACCUGUGCACAUCUCUGCUUCUCGGCAGUGAAUGAAAAGACGAACCCUUCUCUUUUGAAUAGCUCAGGAAUUCUCCAUCAGAUAUCUGUUAAUUUUUCUGACGUAGAGGGAGGCAUACACAAAAAUCAAUUCAAGCAUUAACAGUGCAGAAAAGAAUUCAUGAUAUCACAGGUAACAGGAAUACAACUCACUCUGUAAUAUGACAUGGAGUAACUAAGAUAAAAUCAUGUUUUUUCAAGGUCUUAAUAGGGAAAGUAUUGUAAACCCCUGCUUUGGAGUUUCUACAAUAGAUGAAUGCUGAGCAUUGACAUCUGAUCAUUAAGCACAUCUAAAUUGCCUAUCAGUCUGCUUGUUUUUCUUUAAUUAUAGUUCUACCUACCUAAAAGUAAACUUAGUAAUAAUUUUCACAUAGACGGCAUAAUGUUUCCACUGUGAAUCAUCAAGUAUACCUCUGAACUCUCCUUUCUUCUUUCUUAAUUUUGAAAAAAACGUGAAUU
rnacentral:lncRNA from 1 species